rnacentral:rRNA from 1 species
UACGGAGGGUGCAAGCGUUAUCCGGAUUUACUGGGUUUAAAGGGUGCGUAGGCGGCCUAGUAAGUCAGUGGUGAAAGCUCUCCGCUUAACGGAGAAACUGCCAUUGAUACUGCCGGGCUUGAGUACAGAUGAUGUUGGCGGAAUAUGACAUGUAGCGGUGAAAUGCAUAGAUAUGUCAUAGAACACCGAUUGCGAAGGCAGCUGACGAAACUGUAAUUGACACUGAGGCUCGAAAGUGUGGGGAUCAAACAGG